GAGGGUAUAGCUUAGUGGGUAGAGUGCAUGCUUUGCAUGCACAAGGUCAUGGGUUUGAUUCCCAGUACCUCUG
rnacentral:tRNA from 1 species